CUGCAUUACUCUAUCUUGUUCCUUGUACACUAGGUCUUACCGUCGUAUUGGGUCUGGUGAGAGGAGAGUUGAAGGACCUCUGGAGUUAUGGCGCGGAAUCGAAGUCAGAAAGCAAUCCUUCAGAAGCUUGAAUUACUGAGUUAAUAUCUGUAAUAUCGUGUGGUGUAAGGUUGGUUUAAUAUGGUUAUGGAGGUUUUUGUAUCAUAUUAAAUUGCUGGGGAAGGAUGCGGCCAAAUGUAAGUUGCCAAAUCCAUUUAUUCUUCUGUUGCAUUCCGUCUUUUGUUGUAUCUAUUAUCUGAAACACUUAAUAGAGAGUUUACAAGAGGCAUUUAAAUAGUUUCUUGUUUAGAGGUUAGCUUUAAUUUCCCUUAUUCCCAGUAAAUAUUAUCAAAAGGCUAA